rnacentral:rRNA from 1 species
AAAACUUUUAACAACGGAUCUCUUGGUUCUGGCAUCGAUGAAGAACGCAGCGAAAUGCGACAAGUAAUGUGAAUUGCAGAAUUCAGUGAAUCAUCGAAUCUUUGAACGCACAUUGCGCCCCUCGGUAUUCCGGGGGGCAUGCCUGUUCGAGCGUCAUUG